AUUGAACGCUGGCGGCAGGCCUAACACAUGCAAGUCGAACGGUAGCACAGAGAGCUUGCUCUCGGGUGACGAGUGGCGGACGGGUGAGUAAUGUCUGGGAAACUGCCCGAUGGAGGGGGAUAACUACUGGAAACGGUAGCUAAUACCGCAUAACGUCGCAAGACCAAAGUGGGGGACCUUCGGGCCUCACACCAUCGGAUGUGCCCAGAUGGGAUUAGCUAGUAGGUGGGGUAAUGGCUCACCUAGGCGACGAUCCCUAGCUGGUCUGAGAGGAUGACCAGCCACACUGGAACUGAGACACUGUCCAGACUCCUACGGGAGGCAGCAGUGGGGAAUAUUGCACAAUGGGCGCAAGCCUGAUGCAGCCAUGCCGCGUGUAUGAAGAAGGCCUUCGGGUUGUAAAGUACUUUCAGCGGGGAGGAAGGCGGUGAAGUUAAUAACUUCACCGAUUGACGUUACCCGCAGAAGAAGCACCGGCUAACUCCGUGCCAGCAGCCGCAGUAG
rnacentral:rRNA from 1 species